GCGGGAGUCCCAUAGCCCGGUCAAUUGGACACGGUUGAGGGCCGUGUGACUUAGUGUCUUCGAGAGUUCGAAUCUCUCCUCCCGCA
rnacentral:tRNA from 1 species